rnacentral:rRNA from 1 species
CCUACGGGUGGCUGCAGUGAGGAAUAUUGGUCAAUGGCCGAAAGUCUGAACCAGCCAAGUAGCGUGAAGGAUGACUGCCCUAUGGGUUGUAAACUUCUUUUAUAUGGGAAUAAUAUGUUCCACGUGUGGGCUUUUGUAUGUACCUUAUGAAUAAGGAUCGGCUAACUCCGUGCCAGCAGCCGCUGUAAUACGGAGGAUCCGAGCGUUAUCCGGAUUUAUUGGGUUUAAAGGGGGCGUAGGUGGUUUUUUAAGUUAGUUGUUAAAGCUUGAGGCUCAACCGUAAAAUUGCAGUUGAAACUGGAAGUCUUGAGUACAGUAGAGGUGGGCGGAAUUAGUGGUGUAGCGGUGAAAUGCUUAGAUAUCACGAAGAACUCCGAUUGCGAAGGCAGUUCACUGGACUGCAACUGACACUGAGGCUCGAAAGUGUGGGUAUCAAACAGGAUUAGAUACCCGUGUAGUC